GUUUAGUACCUAAAUACCUUAAAGGCCCCCAAAUCUGUCUGAUCUUGGAAGGUAUCCAGGGUCAACCCUGAUUAGUAUUUGGAUUGGAUACUACCUCUGAACACCAGGUGUGUUCGACU
rnacentral:rRNA from 1 species